AGCCUGUGAUUGGCUUAGAGGAGGGGUGGAGAAAGGACAACACGUUGCCCAGGAUAUAUUUAGUUGAAGGGCAGCUUGGGACGUGCUUAGACAAGGGAGCUUUUGUCUUUAUGCUCAAGUGAGCUGUUACACUCACACACACCCACACACACACCCCACACACACCACCCCUCCUCCACCCAUUCCUCAAGGGUUGAACACCUUAAGCCACAUACUGAUUUGCUUCCCACCUCUUCCGCGGAGGAUGUUUUUCAUCUGAGAAUUUAGAAUUUUCUGGGGUUUGUUAUAGAAGAAACUGAACAACCCCUCUGCAUAACUGACUCCAAUUCAAAGCACAAACGUUUAUUGGAAGGCACCAUUUCUAAAUCAGAUGAUUUCCUAAGGUGCCCGUUAAUGAAAGAUGAACUUCUGCACUGCUGAGCACAGCUUCCUUGCAACAGAUUACUGACGAGCCAUGUAAUGGGCCCUCUUCUGUCCUCCUCUGAACUGGCUGAGAACUGCUACCUUGGUGCAAGGCUUCACAACCAAUAUCUUUCCUUACUCUUGGAUGAAGAUCUAAGAGUGGAGAUCCUGGAUCAUAUGACAAGUGGAGUCAUUUCAAAAUGUAUCCCACCACUUUGACCACUCUCCCUUUAGAGAGCUGGGAUCGUCGUCAUUGAAUAAAGUGUGAGAGUCACGGCAGCUCAGCCAGUACCCUUUUCAGCAUUGCUGCACUAGCUUGAUUACUGACGCAGAAGCAUUGGAGUUUGCCUUCUUGGAAAAGUACUUUCAGAUGCCUCAGAAAUUGGCAAGAAGUAGAGACUCCUGCCCCUUCUGAACUGUGGCAGCCAUGGAUUUUUACACCCAAGAAUGUAUCACCUGCCUGGUGUUGGACAGAUCCUGAGCACUUGAGACAUCUGUUCCUGUAUUACCAUGAGCAACUGACAACUGAAGAAGAGAUCUCUAGAAAUACUGGGUUACUUAGUGACAAGCAGGUGGCUUUCACCUGUAUUUCAUUUUCUCUUAUACAAGUACCUGUUUUUUAAUUGAUCUCAAUAAAAUGUUGAUAAGGGAAAAAAA